GAUGAACGCUGGCGGCGUGCCUAAUACAUGCAAGUCGAGCGAACGGACGAGAAGCUUGCUUCUCUGAUGUUAGCGGCGGACGGGUGAGUAACACGUGGAUAACCUACCUAUAAGACUGGGAUAACUUCGGGAAACCGUAGCUAAUACCGGAUAAUAUUUUGAACCGCAUGGUUCAAAAGUGAAAGACGGUCUUGCUGUCACUUAUAGAUGGAUCCGCGCUGCAUUAGCUAGUUGGUAAGGUAACGGCUUACCAAGGCAACGAUGCAUAGCCGACCUGAGAGGGUGGACGGCCACACUGGAACUGAGACCCGGUCCGGACUCCUACGGGAGGCAGCAGUAGGGAAUCGUCCGCGAUGGGCGAAAGCCUGACGGAGCAACGCCAGGUGAAUGAUGAAGGUCUUCGGAUCGUAAAAAUCUGUUAUUAGGGAAGAACAUAUGUGUAAGUAACUGUGCACAUCUUGACGGUACCUAAUCAGAAAGCCACGGCUAACUACGUG
rnacentral:rRNA from 1 species